GAUGAAGAACGUAGCGAAAUGCGAUAAGUAAUGCGAAUUGCAAAAUUUCCGUGAGUCAUCGAAUCUUUGAACGCACAUUGCGCCCGGUAGUAUUCUGCCGGGCAUGCCUGUUCGAGCGUCAUUUCAACCAUCAAGCCCCAGCGCUUGUGUUGGGGGCCUGCGGCUGCCGCAGCCCCCUAAAAGCAGUGGCGGGCUCGCUAUCACACCGAGUGCAGUAGUUCAUCUUCUCUCCGGUCUUGUGAGGCGGGUUCCGGCCGUGAAACACCCCACUACAUUCAAGGUUGACCUCGGAUCAGGUAGGAAUACCCGCUGAACUUAAGCAUAUCAAUAAGCGGAGGA
rnacentral:misc_RNA from 1 species